CAGAAACCUAGUCAGAUCAGCUGUGCUACACAGAAGUUGUUCCAAGUUUGUUGAUGCUGUCUUCCAAAGUCUGUCUUUAGUUUGAGGUCGGUUUAGGGUAGCACUUGAAGGUCGUCUGGCAUUAACUUGAGAUGCCACUAAUUGGGUCUAAAUAGGAGGCCUGACAGGCUGAGUAGUUAAGAGUUGGGUAGGCAGCAGUCCCCAGAGUGAUUUUUCAUCAACUUGUGAAAACCCAGUCUUCUUCAUACAAAUGAAAGAAGAAUCAGUUGGAAACAAUCUGUUAGAUUUUCCUAGCAUGCAUGAGGAUUUCAGUGGGGGUUGCUAGCAAAUGGUACACAAUUCUUAGUUUCAAAACCUGUACCCUAAGAUGGCCCGUGACAUGAUUUUACUGACUAAAGGACAAGUUGGGUGUCUUUGGGUGUACGAAUUACAAUAGGACAUUUGACUGAUUGACCCAGGACUUGUAUACUGCUAACAUAAAGAACAUCCUCUCAUUUUAACCCACCUGCCUCUACCCCCAGAAGUAGUUUUUGCAUCCACAGAAGAGCAGGAGAAUUUGGGAGGUGGAGGGGAAGGCAAGAGAAGUUUUCUGGGAUUCGAGCCAAAGCAGAAUAAAAUUGAGGAAGAUGGAAUGGUGGUAUAGCUUCUGUUCUCUGUUUAGCUUCUAGAACUAGACUUGAGCAUAUGUAAUAGAGUGGAUGUGAUGCUUAUCCUCUGACACCUUUGGACUGAGGAAGAAAAAGCCAAUGGGCAAAGGAGCAAACCUGCCAUAUAAUAAGCACUGAACCAAGGAAAUGUUCACUCACAAUCUUGACUCUUCAGGGAAAACUGACGCAGCAGUAUUCAGUCUUCCAGGCCCUGAACAUAAUAUACUUCUCCAUUUAUUGAGCUCUCUGAGCUGCUGCAGUCGUGGACCUCUGUGGAAACCUCUACACUGUUAGUUCCUACUUUGCACAUAAUACACCCCAAACCUGAGAAACACACACACACACACACACACAUCAUCAUCAUCAUCAUCAUCAUCAUCAUCAUCAUCAUCCAGCAGGUACCACCAGGGAGAAACAAUUUUACUAUCCUUAGACAACAUAUUCCAUAUAUUAAUAUAUCACAAACCAGGCUGCCUCUUACAGUGGAUGACAACUUAGAGUCAAUGAAGUACAACACGCCACCUAACCCUCACCUUUAUGAGGUAACUAUUAUUUUCACUCAUUGUAGAGAUGAGAAAACUGAGGCACAAAGAGUUUAGGAAACUUGCCCAAGGUCACACUUGUAAGUGCUAAUGUGAUCUGCUAAAACACCAAGAUUGCUAUUGGCAAGGUGGAAAGAGGCCUAAGAUGAUUCCUGUUAGUACUAGGUAUAGACAAUUGAAUAUGGGAACCAGUGACAAUAAAUCACUGGCAUAAUAUGAAAUUAUAUGCAACCUGCUAGGAAAAGGAAGCCUAAGACUUAUAUUUCUGUGUGUUUCUAUCAAUUCUGCCUUCUCUCACUAAUCUUAUUCACAAUAAAAAUCACCAGCUUUUUAAUAAGACAGAUGUCAAGAAAUGUUCUGCCUUUAAAGGAUAUAUGUUAAGUCCAUUAAAACUGAUCCUUGCACAUAGCAGGGACCUGUUAAAUGUUAGUUCCAUAACUUUUUUCAGGGGUCAAAAAAACCCCACUUUCUCGUGGAUCAUACUUUUAAAAUGUCAUACUGGUGGCUGCCACAUCUGAUGCUAAUUUAUUUGCUAAAUAGGCAUUGGAGAAUACUGUGGUUAGAGCUUUGACAAUUUCAGUUGAUUUCUGAACAGAUUUGUCAUAUGUAAAACAAUUUUCCUGACUACUCAGGAAAUAGGAAAGGCCUUCAAGUAAAGGAGGGUCAUCUAUAACUGUGUCCUGUAUGCUCACUGGAAUACCAUGGAGUAAAGGUGAAGAGAAUUAAAAAUGAAUAGCUCUGAUCAGGUGCAGAAUGUCCUGAUUGUUAGAAUGAUGAAUAAGAACAAGACCCACAGGGGAGCUCAGUAUACUUCCGCUUUGUGUGCACGAGGUGGGGAAAAUACACGGUUUCCCUGUCACCUAGUGAGAGCAAAUGGGCAAAUGACGUGAAGGUAGCAUACGUCACCUAAGAGGUCUGUGGCUUAGGAACAUGCUGAGUCAAUUUGCUACUUGAGAAUUUACAUCACCUUGAUGGUGGACUUCCCCAAAAGUGGAAUUCUAAGCAACCUCAUAUCCCUACCUGGGGAGAGCAGAGAUUUCCUUUUUCCUCUAUCUCUCUGACAGUCCAAAUCGUGAGGUGGAUACAUAGCAGACCCUGUUCCCUCCACCCACAUUUUCCUUUACAUAACAACAGAAAAAGGGUUUUCCUACAGCUUAGUCACUGGCAGAUUAAAUAGCAUUCUGAAAAUAAGGAGGCAAAGUGACAAAACUGCUUUCAAGGAAUUUGUUUUCAACCUCUAAGUUGAGGAGUCUUGAAUUCAUUAUUCAGCAUUUACCAUAAAAAUGUACCAAUCUGAAAGAUAAAAUAAGUUGCUACUUAAAACAAUAAAUAGGAAGCAUUACAUCAUCAGAAAACAUUUCUUGAGCCUGUGUGUAUUUGGUAUUUCUUUAGAUGCUAUCAGGUCACUGCUCUGUGAAGACACACGGCAACACUUAAUGACACACGUGCUUGAGAAAAUGAAAGCACGCCGGCCUUUAUGUGUGAAAAUGACACUAAAUACGAUCAAAUGUGCAUUCGAGGUUUGUUUUUCAGUCGCACUGAGGUUUUUUUCCAUGAUUUCUAUUCACAUUUAGUGCUGCCGACCUGUGUUAUGAUUUUAAGAUGAUUAGCCAGAGUUAGAAGUAUCGUCUUUGUUCACAAAAGGUUUUUUGUCUUCGAGAUUUUCAUAGGAAUUAAAAUCAUGAGCAAGUGCCUAGCACCAUACUAUGAAGCUUCAGUAAAAAUAAUCUGGACUUCCAUGAAUUUGGGGCUAGGCUAGUAAAACACAUGUUAGUGUAAGACACUGGUAGGAUAUGGAAGUCGUGACAAUAUUAGUUAUAUCUGAAUUAAUCUGAUAAAAUUAGUUGGGUGAAUUAUUAUGAAAUAAAAAUUUUACCAAUUUAACAAGUCGGUGAGGUUCUUUCAUUAGGCUUAGCAUUAGAAUUCAUCUUGAUAAUAUUGGGUUAAAUUCCUUGGUCAUUUUUUUCCCCCUUUUUAGGCAGAAAAACCUCAGAUAACUGCCUCCUGCCACAGCAUAAAGACUCUGUAUGACUGCCUUGCUCACUGCUUUCUCUUCAGGGUCUGGCACAAUGCCUGGCACAGAAAGGCACUUAAUAAGUAUAUGUGACUUGUCUACAUUAAUGAUUGAUUGAUUGGCUGAUUGAAAGACUUAAUUCAUUCACUGAUUAUUGGCAUAUACAAGACAUGUAAUUGGGUGUAGUAGGAAACCAAUCAUCUACUCAACCUUGAUUCUUGCAAGUAGAAUGAGACUUAGCAGGCACCAAAAUGAGAGAGGCCACCUAUGCUUAACCUAAGCAUCGCAAAAAGCAGAUAACUCAGGUUUUAGAAAACAGAUGGUGACUUCCCUGCAGUGAUAGCCACCCAAAAAAGCAUGAAGGUGUAGCCUAGAUAAGACAGUUUCCAUUUGUGAAACAGAAGCAUUUGUUAAUUAACACAGAAGCGGUCACUUGAACAGAAAGCUAGGCAAAUGCCUUGAGCCGUUAAAAAAAAAAAAUUUCCUUCAGAAAAGCAUUUCUUUUGAUGAUAACUUUAAAAAAUAAUUUAUGUAGUUUCUUUUUCAGUAGCCGUGCUCGAUCUGUAUCGUGCAGCAUUAUUAGCAUUUGUUAACAACAGAAGUGGUAAGGAAAUUACUCACCACAAUUGUUAGAUUGGGUUAUUAGAGGCAAAGAGAGAAGAGUGGCCUUCAGGAGUACUCAGUUCAAAUCGCUACAGUCAGCAGAGGUGUGGG